rnacentral:piRNA from 1 species
UGGUGGAUGCACUGGUGGUACCUGUAAA